rnacentral:rRNA from 1 species
GACGUAGGGCGCGAGCGUUGUCCGGAUUUAUUGGGCGUAAAGAGCUCGUAGGCGGCUUGUCGCGUCGAAUGUGAAAACUCGGGGCUCAACUCCGAGCUUGCAUUCGAUACGGGCAGGCUAGAGUUCGGUAGGGGAGACUGGAAUUCCUGGUGUAGCGGUGAAAUGCGCAGAUAUCAGGAGGAACACCGGUGGCGAAGGCGGUUCUCUGGGCCUUACCUGACACUGAGGAGCGAAAGCGUGGGGAGCGAACAGG